CAAAUUUCCAUCCCUGACCCAGACUUCUAUGAGAGGAAACAAAUAAAACAAGAAAGCAAACAAACAAAACCAAAACAAAACAAAAAACCUAACCAAACGAAAAAUAACUCAAAACAGGAAUAUUUUAAUUUCACUUGAAUUUUCCAAAUAGUCUCAGAGAAUACUUUUUGAUGGAAGACAGGUGGUUAGAGAGAAGGGAGUGGAGCCAAAAGAGAAAUCAGGGCACCAGACGAAAACAGAAGGCUGGGUAUGGAGAUGUCAAGAGCCCUGCCCUGGAGAAACAGGGGAACAGAAGAUGGCCACACCAGUACUAAUGAAAUGAGGGAACAGCAGAAGGCAUCUCAGAGGGUGACUUGGGCCAACUAGAACAAAGCGUCAGUUCUGGGGCCUUGGGCUGAUUGUAGCUUUAUCGGGAAACUGCGUGCUACCCGGAUAACAUGAAGCUUGAACCGAGAAACCGUCCAACCUUCUCCAGUCAAAUGAAGAAGAAAUGACGAACGCAUGUUUUAUCACUAUCGCUUUUAACUUCAUUCAUGGUCAUUUUAAAGACUGUUCUGUGUGGCCCCCAAACUAAGGAGGGGCAUUUGAGUAAGCCUCAGUUUACCCUUCAGCUUUGGGGUGCAUAAAAGCUCCCUUGCUUUUUACCCUGAGCCUAAGGCUUGCAGACCCCAGCUGCUUUUCUGCUUCACCUUUGCAGUUUGAAGGUUGCUGGUGGUGGGAGGGCAGGAGCUUGGAAGUUCUAAGCUGCCCUUUUAAGUGUCUGCCUUCCCUCCUAGUUCCUGACCACCUUACCCACUCCAGUUUUGUUCCAAAUCCCCAGUCUGACCAUUUAAACACCCUACCUGAUCUGAAUCUAGCUCUCAUAUUUUCUCUGUCUGGAUUAUGAUUUUUUUUCUUUAACUAUCUAUAUACUUCCCCUCCCUCACGCCCUGACAACCAGUCUUGGUAGGCUAGGUGAGAGGAAGUGCUUCAUGGGGAGGGGAUGCUCUGAAGGUCUGUCUAACUUAAGACUCAGAUUGUGAAGUCCCAUUUCCCCGGUCCUCUUUACACAGAACGGAUGUCUGCAGGGGGCUGCGUUUGAGUGUGUCCAAUCUCCACUAUCAUCACAAUCUGAUAAAACUCCAGCGCUUUAGCUUCUGGCUAAGUAUUUUCUCCUCUAAGUAGGCUUUAUUAAAAAGAAUACAAUUCUA